UACGUAGGCAGCAAGCGUUGUUCGGAAUUACUGGGCGUAAAGAGUGUGUAGGCGGUGCUCUAAGUCUGUUGUGAAAUCUCCCGGCUUAACCGGGAGGGUGCGGCGGAAACUGGAGUGCUUGAGGGUGGGAGAGGUAAGCGGAAUUCCUGGUGUAGCGGUGAAAUGCGUAGAUAUUGGGAGGAACACCAGUGGCGAAGGCGGCUCACUGGACCGGUUCUGACGCUGAGGCGCGAAAGCGUGGGGAGCAAACGGG
rnacentral:rRNA from 1 species